ACGCUCGACACCUACGGGAGGCAGCAGUGGGGAAUAUUGCACAAUGGGGGAAACCCUGAUGCAGCGACGCCGCGUGGAGGAAGAAGGUCUUCGGAUUGUAAACUCCUGUUGUUGGGGAAAAAGNGGAUGGUACCCAACAAGGAAGUGACGGCUAACUACGUGCCAGCAGCUGCGGUAAUCUGAGCGGGCUGGCAAGGC
rnacentral:rRNA from 1 species